GGAUGUGGUUCAGUUGGUAGAGUACAUGCUUGGUGAGCAUGAGGCCCUGGGUUCCAUUCCCAGCACCA
rnacentral:tRNA from 1 species